UACGAAGGGGGCUAGCGUUGCUCGGAAUCACUGGGCGUAAAGCGCACGUUGGCGGAUCUUUAAGUCAGGGGUGAAAUCCUGGAGCUCAACUCCAGAACUGCCUUUGAUACUGGGGAUCUCGAGUCCGGAAGAGGUGAGUGGAACUCCGAGUGUAGAGGUGAAAUUCGUAGAUAUUCGGAAGAACACCAGUGGCGAAGGCGGCUCACUGGUCCGGUACUGACGCUGAGGUGCGAAAGCGUGGGGAGCAAACAGG
rnacentral:rRNA from 1 species